UACUGCACGACGUCUGACGGAGCACGCCGCGUGAGUGAAGAAGGCCUUCGGGUCGUAAAACUCUGUUGCCGGGGAAGAACAAGUGCCGUUCGAACAGGGCGGCGCCUUGACGGUACCCGGCCAGAAAGCCACGGCUAACUACGUGCCAGCAGCCGCGGUAAUACGUAGGUGGCAAGCGUUGUCCGGAAUUAUUGGGCGUAAAGCGCGCGCAGGCGGCUUCUUAAGUCUGAUGUGAAAUCUUGCGGCUCAACCGCAAGCGGUCAUUGGAAACUGGGAGGCUUGAGUGCAGAAGAGGAGAGUGGAAUUCCACGUGUAGCGGUGAAAUGCGUAGAGAUGUGGAGGAACACCAGUGGCGAAGGCGGCUCUCUGGUCUGUAACUGACGCUGAGGCGCGAAAGCGUGGGGAGCAAACAGGAUUAGAUACCCUGGUAGUCCACGCCGUAAACGAUGAGUGCUAAGUGUUAGAGGGUUUCCGCCCUUUAGUGCUGCAGCUAACGCAUUAAGCACUCCGCCUGGGGAGUACGGCCGCAAGGCUGAAACUCAAAAA
rnacentral:rRNA from 1 species